rnacentral:rRNA from 1 species
AAGCGCUUGCAACCAGACUUGCACGCAGUUGAUCAUCCGGUGUUCUCACCGGGGCACUCUGCUGCGUUCAGGCCAGCAUCGUUUUUGGUGGUUGGAUAAAGGCCUUGGGAAUGUAUCUACCCUUCGGGCGUAGACUUAUAGCCCAGGGUGUCAUGCGGCCUCCCGGGACCGAGGAACGCGCUUCGGCUCGGAUGUUGGCGUAAUGGUUGUCAGCGA